AUGAAGUCUACUGCCAGGUGAUGAAACAGGUCACAGGAAACACCAGCUCCAAAACGGACAGUUGUCAGAGAGGCUGGAGGCUCCUCUACAUCCUGACUGCGUUCCAUCGCUGUUCUGAGGUCCUGAAGCCCUUCCUUUUAAAGUUCCUACUGGACAACUGCUCUAGACCCGGAGUGCACUACCAAGGUAUAGCCAAGGCGUGUGAGCAGAACCUGAGGAGGACCUUCCAGUACGGAGGAAGAAUA